GGGGGCGUGGCGCAACUGGUAGCGCACCUGCUUUGCAAGCAGGGGGUUAGGGGUUCGAGUCCCCUCGCCUCCACCG
rnacentral:tRNA from 1 species